rnacentral:rRNA from 1 species
CUAAGCGCGUGCUUUGUAUCGGAUAUUGGGCGUAAGAGCUCGUAGGCGGUUUGUCGCGUCUGCUGUGAAAUCCGGAGGCUCAACCUCCGGCCUGCAGUGGGUACGGGCAGACUAGAGUGCGGUAGGGGAGAUUGGAAUUCCUGGUGUAGCGGUGGAAUGCGCAGAUAUCAGGAGGAACACCGAUGGCGAAGGCAGAUCUCUGGGCCGUAACUGACGCUGAGGAGCGAAAGGGUGGGGAGCAAACAGGCUUAGAUACCCUGGUAGUCCACCCCGUAAACGUUGGGAACUAGUUGUGGGGUCCAUUCCACGGAUUCCGUGACGCAGCUAACGCAUUAAGUUCCCCGCCUGGGGAGUACGGCCGCAAGGCUAAAACUCAAAGGAAUUGACGGGGACCCGCACAAGCGGCGGAGCAUGCGGAUUAAUUCGAUGCAACGCGAAGAACCUUACCAAGGCUUGACAUAUACGAGAACGGGCCAGAAAUGGUCAACUCUUUGGACACUCGUAAACAGGUGGUGCAUGGUUGUCGUCAGCUCGUGUCGUGAGAUGUUGGGUUAAGUCCCGCAACGAGCGCAACCCUCGUUCUAUGUUGCCAGCACGUAAUGGUGGGAACUCAUGGGAUACUGCCGGGGUCAACUCGGAGGAAGGUGGGGAUGACGUCAAAUCAUCAUGCCCCUUAUGUCUUGGGCUUCACGCAUGCUACAAUGGCCGGUACAAAGGGCUGCAAUACCGCGAGGUGGAGCGAAUCCCAAAAAGCCGGUCCCAGUUCGGAUUGAGGUCUGCAACUCGACCUCAUGAAGUCGGAGUCGCUAGUAAUCGCAGAUCAGCAACGCUGCGGUGAAUACGUUCCCGGGUCUUGUACACACCGCCCGUCAAGUCAUGAAAGUCGGUAACACCUGAAGCCGGUGGCCUAACUCCUUGUGGAAGGGAGCCGUCGAAAGUUGGGAUCGGUAAUUAGGACUAAGUUCGUAACAAAGGUCAGCCAA